UGGGGAAUCUUCCGCAAUGGACGAAAGUCUGACGGAGCAACGCCGCGUGAGUGAUGACGGCCUUCGGGUUGUAAAGCUCUGUUAAUCGGGACGAAUGGUUCUUGUGCGAAUAGUGCGAGGAUUUGACGGUACCGGAAUAGAAAGCCACGGCUAACUACGUGCCAGCAGCCGCGGUAAUACGUAGGUGGCAAGCGUGGUCCGGAAUUAUUGGGCGUAAAGCGCGCGCAGGCGGAUUGGUCAGUCUGUCUUAAAAGUUCGGGGCUUAACCCCGUGAUGGGAUGGAAACUGCCAAUCUAGAGUAUCGGAGAGGAAAGUGGAAUUCCUAGUGUAGCGGUGAAAUGCGUAGAUAUUAGGAAGAACACCAGUGGCGAAGGCGACUUUCUGGACGAAAACUGACGCUGAGGCGCGAAAGCCAGGGGAGCGAACGGG
rnacentral:rRNA from 1 species